CUGAAUUGCUUCCUUUGAAGUGGUUAAAACGACACCUUUUAUGUUAUGUGUGUCCUGCCAUAGUUUAAAAAGGUAAGGCAUAAUAUCAGAUCCUAUAUAGAUGAGCUCAGGGAAUGGAAGGAAAGGUCUCUCAGAGACAAAGGUCUCUGAUUUUCUUUUUCAAUUCUAUCAUGGCAUAAGACUUUGGUACAAGCAUGCAUACUUGGUACAAAUCCAUGCCCUGCACACACACCAAUUGAUUGGUGAGUACCUUUAGUUGAUAGAUUUCUUGCAGAUUCCCAGCUUUCUUGUUGGUAAAAUGGACCAAUGAGAAAUGAUGAUUGUCACAUUAUUGUGUAUGUGCGAUGCUUAGCAUAGUGCAAAAUUCAGACAGGCAUAAACUAGUUAAUUCAUAGGCCCUCCCACCUUCUCCCCAAUGACUGUAUUCUCUCCCCAUCCCUACACCAUCUCAUCUUUCCCAUCAUUCUUUUCUACUUGCAAAUAUUUGGUCCUCUGAUCCAAAAGUGCCUCAGUGAUAGAUGAUGUCCUCCCUGGCUGGCUCAGGGAGUGGAUACCACGGAGAUAACGGUCUGUGAACCAGGAGGUGAAAUACAGUCUGAGCUCUGUGGCACCAAGUGACCCAACAACCCAAGGCCACUCUGUGUGGUGCAGACUAGAGACACAUAAGGGGCCUGAGUCCAGGAGGUGGUUAGCAUGAAGAGCGAGUGUGAACGAGCCACAGGCAUCCUUGGCUAUAAGAAGGCUGUCACCAUGGACACUGAGGAGUGGCACCUCCUGCUUGGAGCUUCUCGUGAAGCUGAACAAAUCUAGCCUGGCUUCACGCGUGCUCUAUGAAGUACCAAGAAUGAAAUCAGGCCAGAACAUUUUUAAAGAAGUCGGAUUUUUCAAGGACUAUCUUGGAUUUCCUUUUCUUUGUAUGUUUAAACAACCGUAGAUGUUGAGAAAUCCAAAGGACCUACUCAUAACACCACUCUGCAAAGUUGCCAGCUGCCUACAACUCUGAAGAUUUGUCCUAUGAUCAAGUACAAUCUGGACUUGGUCUUCUGUUCUAGACAUGGUGUUCAGGGAAAUUCCUUCCACAGUGUUCAUUGUAUUGAAGGGAAUAAUACAGCAAUAUGUGAUUGAUUGCUACGGCUGCUCUCACCAAGUUGCCCUGCAUUGCAUCAGCUGCCAGCAUAGGACAGGGCCAAAUAAAAAGCUUAGUAAGGCCAAUUGUAAGAAUAGUGACGUGGGCUUAUUUGAAGAUCAAAACUACAGCAUCCUGUAAAUCUGUAAUUGCUCUUGAAAUUAUCUCCUAAGAUACAAGUUUUCUAAGAGUAUCUUUUAUGAUUUUCUUCUGCCCUUUGAGUCCAACAAAACCUGUGUGUUAGUAAAGAACACAUUCCUUGCUAAUGCUAAGAACUGUUGCCAGGAGAAAGCCAUAGUCAACAUCUCUAGAAGACUUAUUGGAUUACAGAAUAGGGCUCACUGGCACCCGUGUGAAAGUCUUGGCUUUGACAGUGUGGGUGGCGUUAUUUUAACCACAGAACACCCUGCACUGUGAUUCUUAUUGUAAACCAAAGGUCUGUGGCAUCAAACUUCAGUACGGUCUCUAUUUGGGAUGUGAGCCUGCCAAAUGUGCACAUGGCAAAUGUGUUUUAUUCAAACAGCUCUGGGGGGAAAGAGAGCUCACAUUUGGAUAGUGCGCAUCUGUUUUCCCAUCUGGUUCUCAUAACAACUGUGUGCAGUGACUGAGUCAGAGUUUAUCAUUGGCUUGUUUGAAGGUGGAGAAAUGGAGAGUCAGUAAGUGAAAGGAAUUUACCAGAAUUGUAAGGCAAGUAGGAAGCAGCUAAGAUCAAAACUCGCAGCUUUCAGCCCAGACUCUCAUGGUAGUACCAGUGUGGUAAUUUCUUCACAAUGAAAACAGACAUUAUAGUUAAGGGUUCAGUUUGAAAGAUCAAAAUAGACCCCAACCCCCCCCAAGCCACAGUGAAAGCCAACAUUUCACUGCUGGAGCUAGAUUUGUUAAUUUCUCUCACCAGCCAGAGGGGUCUGGGUGGGUUUCCUGUAGCAGGGAUGUGUCCCCUCCUGUGGAGUGGUCCUCAAAUCCAAUCAGAAGGCAGUUAGUGACCUUUCCCCCAACCCCGCCUGCAAAGCACUCAUACCACCAAUUGCACGGUAGGCAUAUCUUGCUGGUAGGUUAAUGCUAUUGCACAAAAGCUUCAAAGCUGAGUAAGACUGUGAAGGUUCUCCUCCAGCAUUCUGCACAGCACCUUCUGGUUCUAUGGACAAUGAUCGCCACGGAGGAUGCUUAACAGCUCAGCUCCACCCUAAUUUCUGUGUCCUUUAAUGAAAAUAUGUUGUUUUGUCAAUGUAGAAUUGGAGGUUUUGUGAAAUUUUCAAUUGUUACACCUAUAUACAGGACCCCCCACAGUAUGCGUCACAAAAGAUACUGAUUCUGUGGUUGGCUCUAUCCAUUUUGGUGCCAUCUCAGGACUUAUACAUUGUAUCUUAGGAGUACAGAAACACUAAAAGAAAAAAUGGAGGUAUUGAGAUGGAUGAGUCCCAACUCAUAUAUUCAUUCUAGCCUGAGGCGUGCACAUCCUUAGACUUCAUAGGGAGACAGCAGGAGAUCCCAAGUCACUGACAUUAAAUGUGAGAAUUUGUGUUUCAGUCAUCCCUCAGUAUACACCAAGCAUACGUCCCAGGAUCCCUGUCUGUUGAGGGCUUUUGGUGCAGUUUCUAGGAAUUUGGCAUUUGUCACUGGGCUUGGACAAGGAAGUAGGCUCAGAUAAGAAUAUUAGAAGCAAUGAUCAUGGGGCUUUUCUUACUAUUUUGCUGAAUUCCUACCUUAUGUGAUCUCUUUGCUGACUACUUUACUUAAUUAUGACCUUGUGUGACCCUUUGCCUUUCUACUUUGCUUAAUUACUAUCUCGUGUGAUCGCCUUGAUUACUACUUUGCUUGACUACCUUGUCUUUGCUCUAAGAACUGACCGUAGUUUUUGGAUGUACCUAGAAUGAUAUAAAAGCAGGCUAGAGAGACAUAGAGUUGCUCCCGCCUCAGCACUGGCUGGAGCCAUGUUCUAGUGUUGUCUAAUUGUUUUCCUUCUUUUUCAAUCCUCACUCCCUCCCUUGAAACCCUGUUGACUGACUGAGCUGGCUUGGUCACCUGCCAACCAAAUUUCAUGGAUGUCAGAGUUUCUCCUAUGUUUCCUUGAAUGGUGGUACUUGUACACAACCUGUGCCUUUCCUCCCAUGUACUUCAUCAUGUCAAGAUUGCAGGUUGCGCAUCCGUAACUCACAAACACAAAAUAGAAACAUCUUGAUCUCUAACAUGAUACCAGAAGAAGAACACUUCACAUCAUGAACCUUGCUUCAUAUAUAACAUGAUUGAACUCUUUGUGUGACAUCACUUUCAAGCUACAUGUAUAAGGGUACUUGAACCAUAAAUGAACAAAACUUCUUGGACUGCAUGCUCUCUUGGGCUCUAUGCUUCUCUAUAGAUAAAAGUUGUUCAGUUAAUGUGUUGCCUGGGAACAGCACAUCCCUUGAUGUGCUGACACAUGUGCCCAGCUCUAGGACUGCUGUUUUCUUGUACUUUUCAUCAAAAGCCACUAAAGUAAAUUUUGAUGAAGGAACACACACACACACACACACACACACACACACACACACUCAAACCUGUGUAUUUCACAUUCUUAUUGUUUAUUCAAGGCACAAAUUUCUACCCCCUACACUUUGGUUCCACCUUACUCUCUGCCUGAUUUUUUUUUUUUUUAAAUAGAUUUUUGGAUCAAUGGAUUAGCCCAAUCCCCUGACUCAACUCAGGGACAUUCUCCAGUAAGUACUAAGAUUUCCCAUCUCUAAGGCAAUAUAGAAAUCUCCUUUCCCAGGGACAUUAUGUUCCCAGGCCUUCUGCCAAGGCAAGAACAGAUACUGUUCCACCUCAAUUUUCCUGGGUUUCCAAGAGUCUGAGAUUGCACACAAACUAGUAUGCCACUUCUGAUGAAUUGAUGCUAUUAAUUAGGCAUUGAAAUCUUUAUCUGUUUCCUAGAGGAAACAGUUGAGAGUGUUGGGGACGUUGUGUCUGCUGCUGGGGAGAGGCUUCGAGGAGAACUGCACGAAGCCUCUAGUCUCAGUCCUGCACUCUCUUCCUGGAGGUCACCAGAUCCAGAGAUACUGGGAGGCAGGCUUGCUUUUCUGAGUGAGACUGGUACUGGACUGAUGUGUGGAAAGUGGCCUUCUCUUUCAGAAGCUGUUAACACUUGGAUUCUAGCAGAGGGGCAGUUUGGAAACUCAGUUCCUAUAUUAGCAUAUUUAAAUAAAAUCCUUCAAAUUUUAGAUCUUAGGAAGACCUUAUUUUCUGAGACAAUUAUACUCUCUGUUUCUGUCUUCCUUUCUGUCUUUCUUUUUGUUUCUGUCUUCCUCCUUCCUUUCUUGCAUUUAUUUCUUUCUCUCUGUCUCUGUCUCUCUUCCUCCUCCUCCUUUUUUUUUCUUUUUUCUUUUCUUUUUUUUCUUUUUUUUUUCUUUUUUUUUUUUUUUUUUUGUAUCACAAGGGCAUGAGCUGUCAGUGACUUUGUGGCUUAUGAUAAGAAUUGUUACACUGUGGGUGGCUGGAAGCCAGUCUGCCGAGUGGGUUCUUUGCUCUACCAGGGCUCUGUCACGUCUGCCGAGUGGGUUCUUUGCUCUACCAGGGCUCUGUCACGUUCUCCUUUAUCAGGUAUAAGGCUCAGUGACUUAGGGUCCUCCUUAACUCAGAAGAGCAAGGAUUCUAACAUUUCAUCAAGCAAAUAGUUCUGAUGGUUCUCUGAAGCUUUUAAAAAUCGAAGUGGCUAGCAGAGACCUGAGAAGCAGCUGGUGUACAGAAAAGAGUGUCUAAAGCUACUGUAUUAUUAAAGAGAAAAUAUUGCCCAUAUACAGGUGGGUGCCCAGGAGCUUGGCUAUGGCUCUGUUCUCCAAAAAACUUAAUCCAAAUGUGUCCCUAGAAUGACUUCACCUGGAAGAUAGAAAAGGACAGACUGACAUGUUGAGGCCUCUGAGCUGAAGGCAAUGAUCUCUGCUCCUAGUACAACUAGAUUCUUCUAGAUUCCAACAUCCUUGGCUCAGGAGCAGCACCAUUCAUGUUCUUCCCACACUGCCUGCAGAAUUGGUAGUUUUUCCAUGUAUGUGGUUUGUGCAUUGUAGACAGUUGGGGCAGUCAGGUUGGUAUCUUCAGGCAGAGGACACAGCUGAGCUAGGAGCCUGCAUGAAGGGGCGUGUUACACCCCAUCAUCCAUUCAGGGAGGUAUCCAGUACAUACAUCUUCCUCAUGUAAUAAAUGUGAAGAGUACCUGCCCCACCAAACCUAUGAACUUGGUCCAGAUCUAUUGUCAUAGUCCUCUAACUCACACCCUGUUUGUGUGUUUGCUUCCCAAACGAAGCGUUCGGUGGAAACGUUUUAAAAUUGGGUGUGUUUCUGCUGUGUCACCCCAUCUCGUGUUAUUCCAUCGCUUAGAUAUUCCUGAGUUCUAACCACCAUCCUUGAAGUUGACAGCACUUGGUCCCUGUUGCUCUCUCUCCUAUUCUUUGCCUUUGCCUCUGUGGCAACAAAGCCACUUUGCUUUGUCUGCGAUAAGUCAUGCAUGCUUUUCACUCAGAACCUGGCCCCUACCCUCAUAGACUUGCCCCACACUUCAUCUGUUUCUGUUUUUGUUUUUGUUUUGUUUUGUUUUGUUUUCCUCCAGUCACCUCCCUGGAGAGUGUCCUAGAAAUGUUAUCUAAAUUAGACCACUCUGUGUUCCAUGGUUUAUUUUAUUUUCCUUCAUAGUUCUUGUCUCCACCUGUGUUGGAUCAGUUCCUGGCUCCCAGCUCAUUCAAGUUUUGCAUUUUGUCCUAAUUGAUGUUCCAUCCAGUAUCUGCCCAUCUUGAAACUGUCCCAGAACCUCUGAAAGACCAUCACCACUAUUCCCCUGAGGCCCGAGGGAGAAAUACUGUGCUAACUACCUUACACUAUCUUCCACUGAGAAUUUUUUCUCAGAAAACCAUGGUUCUAUUCAUUUAAAGAACUAGACCUCAGAAAACAUCACGGGGGGUGGGCAUGGGGAGAUAGAGUGAUGACUCAGCAAAUAAAAGCACAAACUGCUAUUGCAGAGGACCCAACCUUGGUUCCUAUCACCCAUGUCGGGUGGCUCACAACUGCCUAUAACUCCAGCUCCAGUGGAAUCUAACACCACUGGCUUUGAUGGGUACCUGUACUUACAUGGACACACUCACACAUAGACAUACACACCUACUCAUAAUUGAACCAUCAUCUUUUAAAAUAGAGAAAACAAAUAUAAGGACUGAAGGCUUAAAACACAUUCUGCUCCAGAAUUCAACAUCCCAGCCUCAGUUAUCCAGACUUAACUCUCUUUUUCUUACCCUGAGGACCUGACUUGUCUACUGAGCAGAGUCACUCCAAAGGGUGUGUUAAGUUCUCCUUCCCAAGUGGUGUUAAGGUAUAAGUUACCUUUCCAACUGAUUAAAAAGACCUUGCUGUAUAACUGGUGAACUCUAGCCAGGCACUUGCAUUUUUUAAUCAGCACAAUGUCACAUGUGAGACCUUCUGCAAAGCCAAUAAAUACAGGACAAUUAAUCUUCUUGCUUUUUUUUUCCAUGUAGAAAAGGUCACCAAUACUAGUGUUUCAAGGAGAGAAUUAGGAGGGAACACUCAUAAUGGGUGAUUAAUUCAAAGAGGCAGAUCAGAAACCAGGUCCCCAGGUGAACAUGAGUAAAAGAUUUUAAGUUUACUGAAAAACAAACAAACAAACAAAACACCAGCUAACCAACCAAAACAACAUCAAGCCCCACCCCCAAACCAAACCAAAACCCGACAAUGACAAUGAUGAUGAUGUAGGGAUGGUGUAAGAAAAGCUGUAGUCAUUAUCAGAUCAGUCUAGAUCUACUUGCCUCUAUCUGAGACACACGUGGUGGUGGCUGUGAUAGUUUUCAGAAGAAUGUAUUAGUAUGACCGUGACCAAAGGUAGUCAUGUGGUGGGAGGGCGGUCCCAUGUGUUGUGCCUCUGCAUUCAUUACGAACUCACCAGAGUGAGUGAACUUCAAAAUUUCAAAGAGUCCUUCCCUCCUCUUUUUCAUUUUCUUCCCUCCCUUCCCCAGCUGUGUCCCCCUCCCUUUCUUCCUCCCUCCCUUCCUGUCUUCUGUUUUUGAGUUUCCCUAUCUUCCAAUUAGCUCCUUCUGAACUCAGUUUACACCCAGGAUAAUUCAAACACUCAAGGCCCAAUUCUUAGAUAUGUCUCAUGUGGAUUUAGCUUUAUCACGAACCAAUUCCAAUAGACCUCCGGAGAACUGACGAAAGCUCAGAAUUCAGGAGCAAUUCCCUGCUUCUCAGUGUCUGUUUUAUCUCUCAUCUCGGAGCAUCAUCCCUUCAGUCGAGUGCGGCCUGACCUGUGAGGAAGAGCUGGUCCAACAGUCUUUCUGGAACACAGCACUGACUUUGUUUCAGUCAAGGGAAGAAGAAUAGGGAUGGGGGAUGGUGAGGAGGUGACUACGACACUGUUCCUCAUGGUGAAACCCUAACUGUCCUUUUCAGGGUGGCAAGACAAGGGUCAUCUUAGCCUGACCAGCUCAUGUCUGGAUGAUUCUUGUUGUUUUCUUUAAAGGCCAACUGUGUCAUCUUUAGUUAUUCAGCUGAGAAAAGAUGGAAGAUUUGAGCCAAUGUUUCCCCCAAGAAGGUCUCUAGAAAAAGUAGACUUUGCAACAGUUAUCUCAAAAAUAAAUUUUUAUUUAAGAUAAAUGUACAGUUCAUUUAGAGAAAAAUAAUUAUCUACAGGUCAGCAGGACUGGAUGUGUUCCAACAUGUGCCUUUACAACAGUGACAGUACUAAGACAGCGGUCUGGUGUGCGCAUGGGCCUUCUGAGACAUCAUGUGUUCUUAAGCCAUAUUUCUCGUAUCAAGUGUAAUGUUUAAAAGAGGCAAGACAGUUUUGUGAAAGUUAGCCAUUUUGUUCAAAGACAUUCUUUUCUCUCCAAGUAGACACAUAAGUUGAGAAACAGCCCAAUGUCCCAGCAGAUUCUAGAAUACUUGAGAUCAGUUUUGAAGUCACAGUAGCAUCAUUCUAUGAACAAGCCAUAUUUCCUGUCUCCUGUGAUGUGUUCUCCACUUGGUUGCCUUGGAAACUGAAAAUUAUUGUAUGGCAGUUUGCUUUCUUCUAAUAUGCUCUGCUCAGGAGUGAUGUCAUAUCUCCAAAUUCCUUUAGAGAAUCUGCCUUUUUCUUAAAGCUACUCCUAUUUCUACUCAGAUGGCCAAGUAAAAGGAUUCUACCAAGUCUCGAGUCUUGAAGUCAUGUCUCAACUGAGUUAUACUGUGCUAUUCUGUUGCCACACUACUGGCUUUAGAGUUCUGUGCAUCAUCAUCCCGGUUAGGUAGGAAAUCUAUAACAACCGAGAAACUGCAGACAUGCUCUGCAAACCUAUAGGAAAAGAGACUCAGCAAAUAUACAGUGUGAUAUCCAACUUAACAUUUGCACAGGACAGCACCCUCACCCUAGACCAUGGCAGCAAGCUUAUUUGGUUUGGAAUCUCACAUGGUUCAUGGUCUUAGCUUUCACAUCUGCAAAA